rnacentral:rRNA from 1 species
UACAGAGGGUGCGAGCGUUAAUCGGAAUUACUGGGCGUAAAGCGUGCGUAGACGGUUAUUUAAGUCGGGUGUGAAAGCCCCGGGCUCAACCUGGGAAUUGCAUUCGAGACUGAAUAGCUAGGGGUACGGGAGAGGGAUGCGGAAUUCCAGGUGUAGCGGUGAAAUGCGUAGAUAUCUGGAGGAACACCGGUGGCGAAGGCGGCAUCCUGGACCGGUAUUGACGCUGAGGCGCGAAAGCCAGGGGGAGCAAAACGGGG